rnacentral:rRNA from 1 species
GACGAACGCUGGCGGCGUGCUUAACACAUGCAAGUCGAACGGAAAGGCCCUGCUUUUGUGUGGUGCUCGAGUGGCGAACGGGUGAGUAACACGUGAGUAACCUGCCCUUUACUUGGGGAUAACUUCAGGAAACUGGGGCUAAUACCGGAUAGGAGCUCCUGCUGCAUGGUGGGGGUUGGAAAGUUUCGGCGGUUUGGGAUGGACUCGCGGCUUAUCAGCUUGUUGGUGGGGUAGUGGCUUACCAAGGCUUUGACGGGUAGCCGGCCUGAGAGGGUGACCGGCCACCGUGGGACUGAGAGACGGCCCAGAGUCCUACGGGAGGCAGCAGGGGGGAAUAUUGCACAAUGGGCGGACGCCUGAUGCAGCAACCCCGCGUGCGUGAUGACGGCCUACGGGUUGUAAACCGCUUUCGCCUGUGACGAAGCGUGAGUGACGGUAAUGGGUAAAGAAGCACCGGCUAACUACGUG